GAACGCGAAGAACCUUACCACCUUUUGACAUCCCGAGACGACUUCCAGAGAUGGAUUUCUUCCCGCAAGGGACUCGGUGACAGGUGCUGCAUGGCUGUCGUCAGCUMGUGUCGUGAGAUGUUGGGUUAAGUCCCGCAACGAGCGCAACCCUCGCCUUCAGUUGCCAUCAUUCAGUUGGGCACUCUGGAGGAACCGCCGGUGAUAAGCCGGAGGAAGGUGGGGAUGACGUCAAGUCCUCAUGGCCCUUACAAGGUGGGCUACACACGUGCUACAAUGGCGGUGACAGUGGGUUAAUCCCCAAAAACCGUCUCAGUUCGGAUUGUCCUCUGCAACUCGAGGGCAUGAAGUCGGAAUCGCUAGUAAUCGCGGAACAGCA
rnacentral:rRNA from 1 species